GAUGAACGCUGGCGGCGUGCCAAAUCAUGCCAAGCGGACCAAAAGAAGAGGAACUUGCUCCCCUUACGUUAGCGGCGGACGGGGGGGUAACACGGGGGAAACCCACCUAUAAAGCCGGGAAAACUUUGGGAAACCGGAGCCUAAUCCGGAUAAUAUAUUUAACCCGCAUGGUCCAUAGGUAAAAGAGGGUUUUGUGGUACUUAUAGGUUGAUCCGCGCCGCAUUAGCUAGUUGGUAAGGUAACGGCUUACCAAGGCAACGAUGCGUAGCCGACCUGAGAGGGUGAUCGGCCACACUGGAACUGAGACACGGUCCAGACUCCUACGGGAGGCAGCAGUAGGGAAUCUUCCGCAAUGGGCGAAAGCCUGACGGAGCAACGCCGCGUGAGUGAUGAAGGUCUUCGGAUCGUAAAACUCUGUUAUUAGGGAAGAACAAAUGUGUAAGUAACUAUGCACGUCUUGACGGUACCUAAUCAGAAAGCCACGGCUAACUACGUG
rnacentral:rRNA from 1 species